GUUUGCUUAUGAUAUAGGCCAAAACGUUGAAAGAAAAAGAACACGGUUGUUUGCUUAUGAUACAGUCCAAAGAUAAAAUGAAAAAAAACCGGAAAUAUCAAUGCGUUUUCUCAUGUUAGUUUUUUUUUACAUCAUAGAAAGCGUGGAUGUUUUUACUAUGCACGAUUUUGACACAUGGGGAAAAAUCUAGGCCCGUGAUUGAGCAAAAUUCUAUGUAGAAAAAAAUUAUCGUUUUACAGUUGUUUGCUUAUGAUG
rnacentral:lncRNA from 7 species